rnacentral:lncRNA from 1 species
UUGUUUAUUUAUGUGUUGAUUAUAUUAAACUGAACUCUCUGAUCUCACAUUCCUAUGACUUUAUUUCCUCUGAAAGUUUAUGAUCCAUGUUUUCAUUUUUAUGUUCCUUGCGCCUUUGGUAAAAGCCAGUAUUUCUUGAUAUCAGUUACCCAUAUUUCCCUUGGAUCACCUGGCUUUUGGCUUUUGGAUGACUCCUCAGUCCUCACUAUCAUUUCCAUUUCCUUUGGUUAUGAGUUAUUGGCUGUUGAAACUGAUGCUGUGGAUAUACACAAUAAUUUACUUUGGUUAUGAGUUGAGCUUCUGAGAGACAGAGACGGGAAGGGAGGAAGCAAACCCUCCCACUGUAAGUUCCCAC